GACACGCGCUUCCACGGCUUACACGAUUUCUGCACUUCUUUCAGGACACAUCGGCCAUCGCCAAGUUGAUCCAACAACCAUGCGCUGCUUUUACCAUCUGCGAUAACCGGCCACGCCCCCGCUCUCGGCAGUUUGGCAGUGGCAGUGGCGAGCGACGGACACGCGCUUCCACGGCUUACACGAUUUUUGCACUUCUUUCAGGUCUGCUCCUGCUUUGGCCGUCUGUCUGUCAUCCAGCUUUGUUCCUGGAAUUUAUUGCCGCCUACGUGGGCUGAACAACUUGGUUAAAGCAGUUAUAUUUCUUCGACACUCAGGACACAUCGGCCGUCGCCAAGUUGACACAACAACCAUGCGCUGCUUUUACCAUCUGCGAUAACCGGCCACGCCCCCGCUCUCGGCAGUUUGGCAGUGGCAGUGGCGAGCGAUGGACACAUGCUUCCACGGCUUGCACAAUUUCUGCACUUCUUUCAGGACACAUCGGCCGUCGCCAAGUUGAUACAACAACCAUGCGCUGCUUUUACCAUCUGCGAUAACCGGCCACGCCCCCGCUCUCGGCAGUUUGGCAGUGGCAGUGGCGAGCGACGGACACGUGCUUCCACGGCUUACACGAUUUCUGCACUUCUUUCAGCUUGCCAGACUUUUCCUCGGAACCGUCGUCCCUGCUGCUGCCUUCACGCAGCUGACUGCACCAUCACCGCUGCAAUCGCACGUGGCUGAGAUCGAGGAAGCUGUGCAGGUCUGCACUAUCGCCCACGUGUGUCAUGGGUGCGGGCCAUCAAUCCGCUCAUCUCUGCCGCUAGACACCGCCCUCAACUUUGCCAUUCCUGACAAACCAAUCAGCAACCCUCCCAGCUCAGCGACAUCAUCAGGCAGGGGUUUAAAAGUCCUGUGUGUGGUUCCCCUCAUCAGUGGGCAGCUUGGCAACAGCUACGGAAUGUCGCCUAAAUGCUGUUUC